GUCUACAGCCAUACCACCCUGAACGCGCCCGAUCUCGUCUGAUCUCGGAAGCUGAGCAGGGUUGGUCCUGGUUAGUACUUGGAUGGGAGAACAAGAUGUGACUGCGGAGGAUGAGGUCU
rnacentral:rRNA from 1 species